rnacentral:rRNA from 1 species
CCUUCCAGAGUGACUAGCUACUGAAUCAUAGAAUUUAUUAAAAUUCAUGAUGUCGUAAGGGAAAAUAAUGAUAGUACCUUACUAUGAGUGUCGUCCAAAUCUGGUGCCAGAAGACUCGGUAAGACCAGAGACGCAAACGUUAAUCAUCAUAAACAGGCGUAAAGGGUUUGUAGGCAGCUUUCACCAAACUAUGAUUACAAAAUAAAGUAGUUUAAUUGAAAGCUAGAAUCAAAAAGAGGUUAUAGUGUAUAACGCCUAGAGGAGGGCUGAUAUCCAUAGAUCCUAGGCAGAAUACUCAGGGCGAAGGCCACUCUCCACUAAUGAUUGACGCUGAGAAACGAAGGUUAGGGUAGGAAAUAGGAUUAGAUACCCCGGUACUCCUUUCUGUAAACGAUGAAUGGUAGUCAUUAGUUUUAUAACUAGAGACGAAGUUAACACAAUAACCAUUCCGCCUUGUGAGUACUACUGCAAAGUAGAAAACAAAAAAAUUAGUCGGUCUCGAAGCAAACGGAGUGAAGCAUGUUAUUUAAUG